UACGGAGGAUCCAAGCGUUAUCCGGAAUCAUUGGGUUUAAAGGGUCCGUAGGCGGUUUGGUAAGUCAGUGGUGAAAGCCCAUCGCUCAACGGUGGAACGGCCAUUGAUACUGCCAGACUUGAAUUAUUAGGAAGUAACUAGAAUAUGUAGUGUAGCGGUGAAAUGCUUAGAGAUUACAUGGAAAUACCAAUUGCGAAGGCAGGUUACUACUAAUGGAUUGACGCUGAUGGACGAAAGCGUGGGUAGCGAACAGGAUUAGA
rnacentral:rRNA from 1 species